rnacentral:misc_RNA from 1 species
GCAAACUUGGUCAUUUAGAGGAAGUAAAAGUCGUAACAAGGUUUCCGUAGGUGAACCUGCGGAAGGAUCAUUAUUAUUUGUGUGGGUCUAUUCAGUUUCUAUAGCAGAAUAGACCCGACACAAAUAGAUUAUCGACUUUUACUCCUAUGGCCUAGAAAUAGGAUUAUAGGAGCAAGGAUGAUCGUAUAUAUUUAAAACCCAACUCUUUGAAUCAAAUAUUAUGCAUUUUAAAUAAUAAAAUCACUAUCAACAACGGAUCUCUUGGCUCUCGCAUCGAUGAAGAACGCAGC